GACGAACGCUGGCGGCGUGCUUAACACAUGCAAGUCGAACGGAAAGGCCCUGCUUUUGUGGGGUGCUCGAGUGGCGAACGGGUGAGUAACACGUGAGUAACCUGCCCUUGACUUUGGGAUAACUUCGGGAAACUGGGGCUAAUACUGGAUAGGAGCUCCUGCUGCAUGGUGGGGGUUGGAAAGUUUCGGCGGUUGGGGAUGGACUCGCGGCUUAUCAGCUUGUUGGUGGGGUAGUGGCUUACCAAGGCUUUGACGGGUAGCCGGCCUGAGAGGGUGACCGGCCACAUUGGGACUGAGAUACGGCCCAGACUCCUACGGGAGGCAGCAGUGGGGAAUAUUGCACAAUGGGCGGACGCCUGAUGCAGCAACGCCGCGUGCGGGAUGACGGCCUUCGGGUUGUAAACCGCUUUCGCCUGUGACGAAGCGUGAGUGACGGUAAUGGGUAAAGAAGCACGGGCUAACUACGUG
rnacentral:rRNA from 1 species